AAAGACUUCCACAGAAUGAGAGGGUUUCCCAGGGUCUGAAUGGAGACCUUUAUUUUUCCAAUGUUCUCCCAGAGGAUUCCCGCGAAGACUAUAUCUGUUACGCCAGAUUUAACCACACUCAAACCAUACAGCAGAAGCAACCUAUUUCUGUGAAGGUGAUUUUAGUGGAUGAAUUGAAUGACACUAUAGCUGCUAAUUUGAGUGACACUGAGGUUUAUGGUGCUAAAUCAAGUAGAGAGAGGCCACCAACAUUUUUAACUCCACAAGGCAAUGCAA